rnacentral:rRNA from 1 species
GACGAACGCUGGCGGCGUGCUUAACACAUGCAAGUCGAACGAAGUGGCGAACGGGUGAGUAACGCGUAAUCAACCUGCCCUUCAGAGGGGGACAACAGUUGGAAACGACUGCUAAUACCGAAUACUGAAGGAGGGGAUUGCGUCUGAUUAGCUAGUUGGAGGGGUAACGGCCCAGCAAGGCGAUGAUCAGUAGCUGGGCUGAGAGGAUGAACGGCCACAGUGGGCCUGAUACACGGCCCAGAAUCCUACGGGAGGCAGCAGUGGGGAAUCUUCCGCAAUGGACGAAAGUCUGACGGAGCAACGCCGCGUGAGUGAAGAAGGUUUUCGGAUCGUAAAACUCUGUUGUUAGAGAAGCGGUAUCUGACCAGAAAGCCACGGCUAACUACGUGCCAGCAGCCGCGGUAAUUC